rnacentral:tRNA from 2 species
UCUAUUAUGGCAGAUUAGUGCAGUGGAUUUAAGCUCUACAAAUAAAGUAAUUAAACUUUUAUUAGAA